rnacentral:rRNA from 1 species
AGCAGCCGCGGUAAUUCCAGCUCCAAUAGCGUAUAUUAAAGUUGUUGCAGUUAAAAAGCUCGUAGUUGAAUUUCGGGACCAAUACGUCGGUCGUGCUUUCGGGUACGUACUGGCGUCAUUGGUUUCUCCUUUCUGACGAACCAUGAUGUCAUUAAUUUGGUGUUAUGGGGAGUUAGGACUGUUACUUUGAAAAAAUUAGAGUGUUUAAAGCAGGCUCGCGCUUGAAUACAUUAGCAUGGAAUAAUGAAAUAGGACGUUUGAUUCUAUUUUGUUGGUUUCUAGGAUCGACGUAAUGAUUAAUAGGGAUAGUUGGGGGGCAUUAGUAUUCAAUUGUCAGAGGUGAAAUUCUUGGAUUUAUUGAGGACUAACUACUGCGAAAGCAUUUGCCAAGGAUGUUUUCAUUAAUCAAGAACGAAAGUCAGGGGGAUCGAAGACGAUCAGAUACCGUCGUAGUCUUAACCAUAAACUAUGCCGACUAGGGAUCGGAUGAUGUUAAUUUUUUUAAUGACUCAUUCGGCGC